ensembl:lncRNA
CUGUUUAUCUUCCUCGCUCUCCUCUUUCUCCUCCUGUUUAUCUUCCUCGCUCUCCUCUUUCUCCUCCUGUUUAUCUUCCUCGCUCUCCUCUUUCUCCUUCUGUUUAUCUUUCUCACUCUCCUCUUUCUCCUUCUGUUUAUCUUUCUCACUCUCCUCUUUGUCCUUCUUGCUCUCCUCUUUCUCAACCCCCCACACGCUUUCUUUCUUGCCCCCCUUCUUCCCCAGGUCUCUCUUCUUCCCAUACAGCCUCUCCUGGAUCCUGUCGUUCAGUCGGCCCAACUCUUCCACCCCCAGAUCCAGCCCAACAGUCUGCAGCAGGCUCUGGAUCUGUCCGUACUUCUGCUCAUCCUCAGGCCUCAUUUUCCUCUUCUCCUCCACCUGUGGAGACAUGGACUUAAGCCUCCCUUUCCCCUUCUCCACAACAGGUGGAGACAUGGACUUAAGCCUCCCUUUCCUCUUCUCCUCAACAGGUGGAGACAUGGACUUAAGCCUCUCUUUCCUCUUCUCCUCAACAGGUGGAGACUUGGACUUAAGCCUCCCUUUCCUCUUCUCCUCAACAGGUGGAGACUUGGACUUAAGCCUCCCUUUCCUCUUCUCCUCAACAGGUGGAGACUUGGACUUAAGCCUCCCUUUCCUCUUCUCCUCAACAGGUGGAGACUUGGACUUAAGCCUCCCUUUCCUCUUCUCCUCAACAGGUGGAGACUUGGACUUAAGCCUCCCUUUCCUCUUCUCCUCAACAGGUGGAGACUUGGACUUAAGCCUCCCUUUCCUCGUCUCAUCCACCUGUGUAGACUUGGGCUUUUUGUUUUUUGGGCUAUCCAUAGCCUGGAUGAAGCCUAAGCUAAGGCUAUGUUGCCCAAUCUCUCCUCCUCCAUUUUGUAAGAGACUGCGGUGCUGUGGCAGAACGUUACCUGCUUGGGCCACUUGACGCAACAGAUCCCCAAACGGAUUGGGCUGAACCCCGAGUAGUGUGGGCUGACCCCAGAGUAUAUUGAACGAACCUUGUGGGAACUCAUCAAAUCGGGAGCGCCUUUUGCGAGAGGGCACCUUCCUCUCAUUCUUAGAGUUGGUCUCGGGCUGGCCAUGAAGUGGAGGCGGCUGACCUUGUGGCAGCUCCUCUCCCAUAGAGGGUAAAUCCUUGAAAUUGUUGACAAUCUUUGAGAGCCUGUCGAUGUCCACCCCUUUGUUGAGGACAUCGAGGAAGUGCUGGAAGCCCUUGGCUGCUUUGUC